GGAUGUUCAGAAAGAGUGAAAUUGACUUUUUAUCAUCAAAUUAGUCCUUUAAAAAAAAAAGGGGAAAAAAGGAAAAGAAGAUAUAUGUGAGACAUCUUUCACUUUUUGCCAUUUGUAAUAGAUUAUUUACAAAAUAUGUAUUUCUUUGCAUAUUCUGGUAUUGAUUUGUUCUUAGUUUCUGUUUCAAAAUCAGUUGCUGGAGGUAGAGAUAGUGAGGCUAAAUCAUCUUCGUGAUCGUGCUAGUGAGAAGGGGCAUAAGAAGGAAUAUCCUUUCUUAAUUAAUUUGCAUUUUAGAGCAUGGAAUGAUGUUUGUGCUCCGAGUUCAAUAAAAGCAAUGUAAUUCCUGUACACAUAAGGAGCUAGAAAUAUAAAUUUCUAUUAUACUCGGACAUGAUUCACAGGUUAAGAGAUGAAGAGUCUCCAUCGAAUUUUUUCCUCUUGAUAUAGUAUUGCUUGAAAACGGGGAAAAGGAAUUUACUGAAAGGUGGAUUUUGACUCAGUUGACAUGAUAACCCACACUAAAUGUACUUUCUAGAAUUGGGACUAUAAUUGAUAUCUUGGUCUUUCGAGAGAUUUGCCAACGAGCUGCAGAAAGAAUCAUGUCACAUUCCAUACUAUAUUAUUAAUAUACAAUGCAUACGCUUCACUCCCUCUUUUGUCAUAAACAAUAUUCUGUCUUUGACAUUAUCAAAUCCUGAACAUGGAUAAGAAAUGCUCAACUAUGAACUUGGAAUUGUGUGUUUAAAGGUGACAUGAUGGAUUUACAAGUGGGUAAUUAUAAGAAGUCAUUUCCUUGUAUUCAUUGCUUGCAUGAUUUGAGUCAAUUGUUCCAUCAUGUCUCUUAACAUGAACGGCUUAUAUAAAUCUCCAUCAUUGGUUAUUGAAUGAUUCUUACUGUGUCCUCAACUCUAAUGUUGUUUUAGCAAUGCAAUUCACAAUUUAAUAGAAUUAUUCCACUUCUCUUAUUUUCUCUCGUUAAGAAAAGAAUUACCAAUACAAGUUUGGGUGUGUUUUACUUCUCUCUUUUCUUGCCACUGCAAUGUUGACGUGAAAAGAUCUUGCCUGUAUCUCCUGGCUUUCUUGACUAUCUCACGCUCAGAGAGUAUGUAGAGAAGUUACAGCUUUUGAAGUCAACUGAGGAACGCCAACGGAGACUUCGUGAAAUUCCAAAGAUUCAUGCUGAUCCAAAAAUGGAUCCAAAAUAUGAAUCAGAAGAUGAUGCCGAAGGUGGUAAUAACAGUAAGAAAGAUGGGAAUUUGAGGCCAAAUGUUUCUGGAUUUACUCGAAAUGGAAAGCAACCAUUAAAAAAGGGU